UCUGGGGGUGCGGUGGGGAGCGGAUCAGUUUGGAUACCGGCCCUGAGCAGGAGGCACUGUCCCCCUCCCGGUCCGACCCGGGGCUUCCAGCGGACGCCACCGACGGUGAGCGCACUGUGAACAGAACGAUUUUGUAGGUGAAGAAAGUGUGUCUCAGAGGAGUUAGAGAAGACCAGUUAAUAGAUGACAAUGCUACGGCCUGGAACUCCUAUUUGGAUCCUGGGUCUCCUAUCUCACUCAGCCUGGGUGAGUUUUCUGUGUCUCUACUGCCUCUCCAGUGCUAGUCUGCCAGCCCUCAUCACAAUUGUGAAGUAGUAUGUGGACCAGCUGGGCAGUUGAGCUGAUUUGUGCUGGGCUUGGUGAAGCUCAUUUAUGCAUCUAUUGUCAGCUGUGGGUUUGCUGAAUGGCUUGAGUAAUCUUUUCUGGGCUUUCUCAAAUGUAUGAGGCCUCUGCUGGGAAAACUGAGCUGAUUCCACUCUGCUGCACAUGUCUCAUCCUUCAGCAGGAUAGCCUGGGAGAGAGGGAGGAUGAGAAGGCAUCACUUGGGCACUUGCUCCUGUGCAACUGGGCCCAAUGGCAGAGCCUUCUAGGGGUGAGGGAGGAGACGGUCCUCACUGAAACCAGGUGCAAACCAUCAAUCUAACCUCACCAUUACUAAUCAACAAUGCUGACAAGGUAGUAUAAACCAUCCAAAAACUCCACAGACCUAUGGGUACAAAGUACCACUAGUAAUCAAUAUGUUCUGUGUCUUCCCAGGGAACAAUGCUAUGCAGGUCUAUUUCUCAUUUCAGUAAAAGUUCAGGCCAAUUCUAGACCUGCUGGAAUCACUUCACAGAGCACAGCAUCUCAAAUGCAACAUGCUCAAAACUGAGAUCUUGAUGGUGCUUCCUCGAUUCUUCCUCAUCCUGCUAAUGACAACUUCAUUAUAUUUGCUCAGACCAAAGACCAUGGCAUCAUGUGACAACUCUCUGUAUUUCAUGCCCCACCUCCAAUCUAUCAACAAAUCCUGUUGGUGCUACCUUCAAAAUAUGUUCAGAAUUUGGCUGAGUGCAGUGGCUCACACCUAUAAUGCCAGCACUUUGGGAGGCCAAGGUGGGUAGAUCACUUGAGGUCAGGAGUUCAAGACCAGCCUGCGAAACAUGGGGAAAACCAGUCUCUACUAAAAAUAUGAAAAAAAAUGAGUUGGGUGUGGGGGCAUGCGCCUGUAGUCUCAGCUAUUUGGAAAGCUGAGGUUUUCAAUCACUUGAACUUGGGAGGUGGAGGUUGCAAUGAGCUGAGAUUGCAUCACUGCACUCCAGCCUGGGAGAGUGAGACUUCAUCUCAAAUCUGUAUAUAUAUUCAGAGUUCUAUCACUCUCACCUUCCUCACUCACACUACCAUGAUCCAAGGUGCCCUCAUCUUUCACCUGCUGCUGUGGUUUAAAUGUGUGUGUCCCUCUAAAAUCCAUAUGUUGGAACUUAAACCCCAACCUGAUGGUACUAGAAGGUGGGAUCUCUGGGAGGUGAUUCGGUCAUGAGGAUUCUACCCCCAUGAAUGGGAUUAGUGCCCUCAUGAAAGGGCUGCAGGGAACUAGCUAGGUCAUUUUGUCUUCUGCCAUGCGAGUACACAGAGGAGGCACCAUCUCUGAGAAACAGGCCCUCACCAGACACAGAAUAUGCUGGUGCCUUGACCUUGGACUUCCCAGCCUCUGGAACUUUGAGAGUCAGUUUUGAUUGUUUAGAAAUUGUCCAGUCCCAGGUAUUUUGUUACAGCAGCUGGGCCUCGACUAAGACACCUCCUAACUGGCUACCGGCUGUGCCCUGCCCCCUUUCAGUCUCCUCUCAACAUAGCAGUCAAGGCAAACCAUGAAAAGUGAGUCACUUCUCUGCUAAGACAUCGCAAAUGACUCUCAUCCCACUCAGAAGAAAAGCAGAAGUCCUAACUCUGACCACGGGCUCAGUGUGACUUGGUUGCUCUUGACUUCUCUGAUGCCAUCACCUGCUACGCUCUUUUCUCCACUCUAGUUGGACUACCUUCCUUGUUCCUCAACAUGCAGGCACACCUCCGCUUCUGGCCUUCCAGGUUCCCUCCACUGGAAUGCUCUUUUCCCCUGCGAUCUGUUUUGCCCCCUACUUCCUGCAGGUUUUCUAGUGGGGGCUUUCUAGAUACUUACCUAAAACUUCAGUCUCCUUCCAACAUUUACA